UACGAAGGGGGCUAGCGUUGUUCGGAAUUACUGGCGUAAAGCGCGCGCAGGCGGUUCUCCAAGUCAGUGGUGAAAGCCCGGAGCUCAACUCCGGAACUGCCAUUGAAACUGUGAGACUCGAGUACGAGAGAGGUGAGUGGAAAUUCCCCAGUGUAGAGGUGAAAUUCGUAGAUAUUGGGAAGAACACCGGUGGCGAAGGCGGCUCACUGGCUCGUAACUGACGCUCAGGCACGACAGCGUGGGGAUCAAACAGG
rnacentral:rRNA from 1 species